UUCCAGUUUCUUCAUGAAUAAUCCGUGGGUGAAUGACUCAUUGAUUAAGGUGCCAUAACUAAUCUCAUUUAGAUGACUUUAAUUCUUGUUAGAUGAGCUCAGUUGUGGCGCCUAAUCAAUGAGCAAUUUAAACCACGAGCUCGAGAAUUUCGAUCAAUUCCAAACCCUACUCCCUAAUCCCGAUCGAUACAAGGAUGCGUUCGAUUCGUCCGAUCGCGUGCUCUUUAGAUCGAGUGCUAGGAAACAUUAGCCUACUGCUAUCUACAAAAAUUAGGUGCGAGCAUGUUGAUCAUUGAUGCUGCCUGCCGGUUGGGGCAGAGUCUAUUGACCAAUGUGCCAUAACUAACUUCAUUUAAAUGACCUUAGUCACAGUUAAAUGAAGUUAGUUAUGGCCAUUGAUCAGUAGGUAAUUGAAAACAUGAGAUCAAGAAUUGCUUCUAAUCUGCUUAGUAAGAUGUUGAGGUGAGUAAUCAAGCGAUGCGAGGAAGGGAGACGGAGACGCGAGUGUUUGUCUACGAGAUUCAUGGUAGGCGUUGGUCUCUUCACAAGGUUCCUUACAAUUAUGGAGGAUCCGGCAUAUCAACUGAGGAACCUAAGCGAAGUUUAAAUCUAGAAAUUCAUCUUAUUGUGUAGAACUCGGACCAUGUACUUUUUUUUUACUUGGGAUUUUUCGGGAUCUUUGAUAGGAUGAACGUGACUGGUUACCUGAUUUUGUAACAUUUGAACCAUAGAUAUAACGAAGCUUCUGAUUUAGAGGCAUGAAGAUUAAUUGCAUUAGUAUGAGCACAAAAGCUUGGGUCUUUUUGUAUUGUAUCAACCAUGCAAGACGACAUGGGCUGAAUUUUGUUGAAGUUUUGAUUUUACUGAAUUU